ACUUUCAAAGGAUAACAGAUCAAU
rnacentral:tRNA from 1 species